UGAACCAAUCAAUUCUCUUUCCGGCUCAGACUGCAUUGGUAAAGCGUCGGGGGCUGUCACGUGAUUAACGAACGACUCGAACCCGAAGACUCGGGAGAUGAACUAAUCAAUUCUCUUUCCGGCUCAGACUGCAUUGGUUUAGCUUACGAAGCUGUCACGUCGUGAACGAACGAGUCAAACCCGAGGACUUGUCAGAUAAGAGGUGUGGUGAGCUAAUCAUAGACUAAAGACCCAGAUCUUGCUGUAACCUUGCUGUAGCCUUGCUGUAAUAUGCAUGGAAAUAAUACAGGAUUACUGUAAACUGCGAAAGUGCCCCACCCAUCGUCAAGUCACACAGAGCACAACCCCUGGCUGCAGCUGAAGGAGGACGUUAGAUUUCUGUCUGACCAUUGCUUGUUUAGCUGGAUUGGGUCAUCUGUUAUGUUCCCAGGCAAGUCAUCCCUGGUUAAGGAUGUCCAGCUAUGACUGCAAGUCAUGCGAAGCUGCAAGCUGCA